AGGGUUUUUUUUUUUUUUUUUUUCAGGGAAAAUGAAACCAGGUUAGAUUUGGUAGCGUACAGGGGGUGUGAGAUGUGAGUCUAACGAUGAGACUCCGGCGUAGCAAAAUAGCGUUAUUCGGUGCGCUGCAGGUGCAUCUGCAUCGUGAGUCUCUGUUACGUAUUUUUUGAGGGACCUAAUUGACUGAUCUACUUUCCUCUUUUUUAUUAAAAAACUUAAAAAGUGACUUACGAAUUGGGUAAUCAGGACCGUUUAUGAUAGAUCAUUCAAAUCGCGCAGAUGUAAAGCCUCCAUUUAUUACUUUUCCACCAAGGGAUGGUGAUGUUGUGCCCACCGACACACGGAUUGGAAGUAUGGUCAAGCGUACGUAUCGUUUAGAGAAUUAGACUGGACUAUACUUUUA
rnacentral:misc_RNA from 1 species